rnacentral:rRNA from 1 species
AGUGAACGCUGGCGGUAGGCCUAGCACAUGCAAGUCGAACGGCAGCACAGUAAGAGCUUGCUCUUACGGGUGGCGAGUGGCGGACGGGUGAGGAAUACAUCGGAAUCUACUUUUUCGUGGGGGAUAACGUAGGGAAACUUACGCUAAUACCGCAUACGACCUACGGGUGAAAGCAGGGGAUCUUCGGACCUUGCGCGAUUGAAUGAGCCGAUGUCGGAUUAGCUAGUUGGCGGGGUAAAGGCCCACCAAGGCGACGAUCCGUAGCUGGUCUGAGAGGAUGAUCAGCCACACUGGAACUGAGACACGGUCCAGACUCCUACGGGAGGCAGCAGUGGGGAAUAUUGGACAAUGGGCGCAAGCCUGAUCCAGCCAUACCGUGUGGGUGAAGAAGGCCUUCGGGUUGUAAAGCCCUUUUGUUGGGAAAGAAAAGCAGCAGGUUAAUACCCCGCUGUUCUGACGGUACCCAAAGAAUAAGCACCGGCUAACUUCGUG